CUGUUCCUGGAGAUCUACCUUCAGAAGCACUUGAUGAUGACAGACAGCUGUGUUCGAUUAGGGUUGGAACUGAAGUCUGCAGAUAGUUUGAUCUCCAGGAACAGGAUUGGGCACCCCUGACUUGAGUUUUUUUGCUCAAGCUUCUGGCAUAAACUAACCUGAGCUGCUUUUCCCAAAAGCAUAGUAGGCCAUCAGUGGUAUCAAUGGUCUACAGUGCUUUUGGGAAACGAAGCCCAGGACUCUAAUCAGAUCUUUUCAGCAGGUCUCCUUGAGACUAUCCUCAUCACCAAUGUCCUGUGUGGUUCCCGUGACUUUCCUCCAUUACCUAAGUGGCUCAGGAUUCUGGUUCUGAAAUAUCUUGCUCGACUUGCUUGUAUGAAGAAAUCUUGCGAUAAACACUUUGAAGCAAACAGAUCUGAGAGCACUUUCUACAAAAACAGCAUGACUGAUAAUGCCAUGAUUGAUAUUCCAAAGGAAGAACUAGUUGGUGGAAGUCCAGUGAGAGUCUGGGGACAAUGUCUUGAUGAAAUGAAGAAGAUGAGUCAAGAUUUAUUGGCUAUCCGCCACCAAGUUGAAGAGCACUUCAAUAAUGACAACAGAACAGAUGAUUGGAUCAUGUUUGGUCAGGUCAUUGACCGUGUGCUCUUUAUAAUGUAUAUUAUCUUUAUCAUUGUGAGUUUAAGCACGAUUAUGGUUCUGUGGCUGCACUUGUACAGUCUAGACAAAAGGUCAUAACAUAUUAUCGCCUGCUCUGUAAACUGAAGACAUCAAAAUCUGAUAAUGCCAAUGGGGCCAUGAUUUAUUUAUGAUGUAAUGCAAGUGAUCUUCAACAAAAUACUCUAGCUUUAUACUCUUCAUAGGGGCUUUAAAGGGGUAGUUCACCAAAAAGGACAUUUCUGUCAUAAUUUUCUCAUCUGCAAAUUGUUUCAAACACAAAAGAAGAUAUUUUGAAGAAUGUUGGUGAUCAAAUAGUUGACAGUAACCAUUGACUUUAUGGCAAAAAAAUAUAAAAAAAUACUGGCAACUGUUUGUUUUGGAACAACUUAAGGGAGAGUACAUCAUGACAGAAUUUCCCUUUCCUAUCCCAUAGACAUUCAAUUUCUAGAAAGUUGUAUAAAUAAAUAUUAAAGUAUUUAGCAAAUGUGUAGACUGAAUCUAACAUUCUGUUUUAUCUGUAUCCCCA